rnacentral:rRNA from 1 species
AGUGAACGCUGGCGGUAGGCCUAACACAUGCAAGUCGAACGGCAGCACAGUAAGAGCUUGCUCUUACGGGUGGCGAGUGGCGGACGGGUGAGGAAUACAUCGGAAUCUACUUUUUCGUGGGGGAUAACGUAGGGAAACUGACGCUAAUACCGCAUACGACCUACGGGUGAAAGCAGGGGAUCUUCGGACCUUGCGCGAUUGAAUGAGCCGAUGUCGGAUUAGCUAGUUGGCGGGGUAAAGGCCCACCAAGGCGACGAUCCGUAGCUGGUCUGAGAGGAUGAUCAGCCACACUGGAACUGAGACACGGUCCAGACUCCUACGGGAGGCAGCAGUGGGGAAUAUUGGACAAAGGGCGCAAGCCUGAUCCAGCCAUACCGCGUGGGUGAAGAAGGCCUUCGGGUUGUAAAGCCCUUUUGUUGGGAAAGAAAAGCAGCAGGUUAAUACCCCGCUGUUCUGACGGUACCCAAAGAAUAAGCCCCGGCUAACUUCGUG